CUCACCUUCACACCCGCCCCAAGCCCAGAUCCUAGUCCUUUGGCUGGGUGAGGUCCGAGGGACUUGACAACCAUGGGCGCUGGUGGUCAGGUUGGAGGGCGGCUAGGUCCGGGGAACCUCCCUAGACCAGAUAAAGUCAAACCGAGUUUUGAUUAAGGAGAGACAUUAUUUCUGUUAAAACAAAAUCGAACUGAGUAAAGAUCUAAUUGGCUUUAUUUAACGAUUCAUAAAUGAAGGGCAUCCUAUGUAGCAGCUAGAAAGGAGUUCCUAGAAGCUGUAGAUUUUUACAGUUAGAGAGGGAACUAGGAAGUUAUACUAGCUGAUUGUGGCAAGGUCACUUUCCUUUAAGGGAAGGUGAGAUCUCUCGGGCAGAUGACCUCACUAGUGCUGACCAGUAAUUCCUGAUUGGCAGGUUUAAGAUUCCAUUCAAGGGAUAGGCUGAAACUAAGUUUGGUGAGUGUGGCUUAGCAUAAAUGACCUCAUGGGGGGAUGUUUUAUUUUUAACUUCCUAGACUGUUGCAACAGGAAUGGGGCUUACAUCUCAGAGGGCUUUUUUCAAUGGAAGGAAUGGGAACAGGAAGGUGGUGUGACAGGAAGCAUUCCCAGUGUGCUGAGCACGUCCUCUGCUCAGGACAGCAGAACCUUGUUCUGCAGUCUCAGUGUUUGCUCAGACCUAGUGUGGGACAGUGUCCUGGACCUGUGCAGAGGACAGAAGACUGACUGAAGUUUGGUGAAUUAGUGUCUCAGAUCUGUUUGUUCUGUCCUGCAGACUCCUGAACCAGAGAAGCCACUGGGUGGCCUGCAGGCUCCAGAACCACCCAGAACGUGUUGGGUUCUUAGAGAAGCCACAGAGCCGGAGAGAGGAAGACCCGCCUGCAGAUGGGCUGGGACGGCUUGUGGCUGCCCGGGGUUGCUUCCUGAAGCUUCGUUUUGGCAUCCUGCACAGAGCUGGUGCAGUUAGCUGGGAUUUGUGCAAACCAAGUGUUGAUGAGGUUGUCAGACACCAUCCAGUCCCAGUCCCCAGCAGAUGACAAAGCAGCAGAGGCAGAAAGAAGACUUGAGGAAACUCCCUGGAGAAGACGACGCCCCCUUCUUCAUGGAUACUUGUGUGCUUCAGGGAGCUUGGAGAGGAACUCCCUGGGGGGAUAUUUCUGGCUGACGACCAAUUUCAUAUACA